CGGGUGAGUAACGCGUGGGUAACCUGCCUUAUACAGGGGGAUAACAGUCAGAAAUGGCUGCUAAUACCGCAUAAGCGCACAGAGCUGCAUGGCUCAGUGUGAAAAACUCCGGUGGUAUAAGAUGGACCCGCGUUGGAUUAGCUAGUUGGUGGGGUAACGGCCCACCAAGGCGACGAUCCAUAGCCGGCCUGAGAGGGUGACCGGCCACAUUGGGACUGAGACACGGCCCAA
rnacentral:rRNA from 1 species